CUAAUUUUGCAGCCAGAGACACUGAAACAUACCGAAGGUGAAAAUUGCUCCAGUUUUCUCACAAUGUUGGGCUACAGGACUUGGAAUUCUCCAGGUAUCAUGGAAAACUGUGGUCAGACACCUUCAGCAGAGGGGACAUACAAUGAGACCUUUGCACCACUGUGAAAUUACAUUCUGUCAGAAGACUUCUGCUAUCAAGAUCAGUCAAUCCAGGACUGCAGCCACAGCCUGAAGCCUACAAUGGAUCUAAAUCAGCCUUUUACUGAGGAGGUUGUCCACUCAGUGAUGUUAUCACCCUUACAUAAAUGUACUACCAGAAGCUUGGUAGUAUUUUCAUGAUUAUCAUAGGAAUAUAUAAUUUGGUAUAUUCUCCAUUUGGAAUGAACCUUUUCAGUUAAAAGAAAAUUUAAAUUCCUGGAGAUCUGAGAUUGACAUCCUAUAGCACUAAAUAGGAACAUCUUUUGUUCCUAAAAGAUGUGAGAAACAGAAAAGUUUUACACAGGGCAUGAAAAAUAAAUAGAAACCCAGAAUACUUAUGAAUAUUUUA
rnacentral:lncRNA from 1 species